rnacentral:lncRNA from 1 species
ACUAGAUUAGGAAAACCUCCACUUAUAUUUCAACCUAUAAGCAUUGAGAGUAGUUAAGUUGUGUAGACCCUAUGGAACUAGUCAUGUAGUUAAAGUCAAUAUUAUGUGCUCUCCAUCUAUUGAUCUUAGCUACUUCUAUCCUCAGAAGUAUGCAACCACUUUCAACCACCACAUUCACUAUGUGCUACUUCUGUUCCUAGAAGUACCACCCACAUAUACGCACUACACUCUGUGUAGUUUCUAUCCUGAAGACACGCACCUAUGCUGCUCCUACCCUAGGAGUACGCAUUCCUUCAUUCACCCACACACAUUCCACGUCCACUUAGAAAAUGUUCUACUCCUACACUAGGAGAAGACACCCAAAAAUAUUCAAUGUCUUAUUCUACUUAUCCAAUAAAGCCCCAGUUAUCUCAGUUGAUACUCUCGACUGUUGUCAUUGCAUUAAAAGGGAUAGCUGAUCUCUAAAAAGAGAGAGAAAAAAGAAGAAAAGAAAGAAAGAUGACAAAAGUCACAAUGCAAAAGAAAAGAAAGACAGCCAAAUCCUUGUUCUCACAUCAGGGAAGUAUGUUAUCCCCAAGGAGCAAUUGUAGAAUAAGAUAUUCACCAUCAGUUAUCACCCCUCAUUACCACUUUCAUUCUUAUCAUUCACUUCAUUCAUUAUACUCACAUGCACAUAUGACUUGACUGUAUAAUUAGUUUCUCUGGAUCGAUGGUUUAACUAUGCAAUACAUGCAAGUAGGUUUGAAUUAUCUUUCCCACCUAUGAGCUCCACAUAAGCCAAUUAGAAGUAGGGUGAGAGAGAGAAGGCAACUAUGUCUUAGUGAUACAAAUACCACAAUCUGAGAGCAGAGAGAAGGCUUACUCACUUGCCUU